GACGAACGCUGGCGGCGUGCUUAACACAUGCAAGUCGAACGGAAAGGCCCUGCUUUUGUGGGGUGCUCGAGUGGCGAACGGGUGAGUAACACGUGAGUAACCUGCCCUUGACUUUGGGAUAACUUCAGGAAACUGGGGCUAAUACCGGAUAGGAGCUCCUGCUGCAUGGUGGGGGUUGGAAAGUUUCGGCGGUUGGGGAUGGACUCGCGGCUUAUCAGCUUGUUGGUGGGGUAGUGGCUUACCAAGGCUUUGACGGGUAGCCGGCCUGAGAGGGUGACCGGCCACAUUGGGACUGAAAUACGGCCCAGACUCCUACGGGAGGCAGCAGUGGGGAAUAUUGCACAAUGGGCGGAAGCCUGAUGCAGCAACGCCGCGUGCGGGAUGACGGCCUUCGUGUUGUAAGCCGCUUUCGCCUGUGACGAAGCGUGAGUGACGGUAAUGGGUAAAGAAGCACCGGCUAACUACGUG
rnacentral:rRNA from 1 species